UGUGCUUGCAUAUGAGAGAGUGAGUUUGAAUCUCGGCUUACAAUUUUUAUUUUUUUAAUAAAAUAUUUUUCUCAUCUCUCCUUUUUUUAUUUUUUUAUUUAUUUUCGAUUUACAUUAAGUAACGGGUUGCUCUACAGAGCCAUAUAUAAGCUUUGAGAUUGGUGGUUCAUGCAUUCGUAAUUCGGCGUAGCUGAAGAGCUUUAAGUAAUUUGCUGUGUGGAGAUGCAAGCAUAUGGACUCUU
rnacentral:lncRNA from 1 species